rnacentral:rRNA from 1 species
AGCGGGGGAUAACUAUUGGAAACGAUAGCUAAUACCGCAUAACAAUGGAUGACACAUGUCAUUUAUUUGAAAGGGGCAAUUGCUCCACUACAAGAUGGACCUGCGUUGUAUUAGCUAGUAGGUGAGGUAAUGGCUCACCUAGGCGACGAUACAUAGCCGACCUGAGAGGGUGAUCGGCCACACUGGGACUGAGACACGGCCCAGACUCCUACGGGAGGCAGCAGUAGGGAAUCUUCGGCAAUGGGGGCAACCCUGACCGAGCAACGCCGCGUGAGUGAAGAAGGUUUUCGGAUCGUAAAGCUCUGUUGUAAGUCAAGAACGGGUGUGAGAGUGGAAAGUUCACACUGUGACGGUAGCUUACCAGAAAGGGACGGCUAACUACGUGCCAGCAGCCGCGGUAAUACGUAGGUCCCGAGCGUUGUCCGGAUUUAUUGGGCGUAAAGCGAGCGCAGGCGGUUUGAUAAGUCUGAAGUUAAAGGCUGUGGCUCAACCAUAGUUCGCUUUGGAAACUGUCAAACUUGAGUGCAGAAGGGGAGAGUGGAAUUCCAUGUGUAGCGGUGAAAUGCGUAGAUAUAUGGAGGAACACCGGUGGCGAAAGCGGCUCUCUGGUCUGUAACUGACGCUGAGGCUCGAAAGCGUGGGGAGCGAACAGGAUUAGAUACCCUGGUAGUCCACGCCGUAAACGAUGAGUGCUAGGUGUUGGAUCCUUUCCGGGAUUCAGUGCCGCAGCUAACGCAUUAAGCACUCCGCCUGGGGAGUACGACCGCAAGGUUGAAACUCAAAGGAAUUGACGGGGGCCCGCACAAGCGGUGGAGCAUGUGGUUUAAUUCGAAGCAACGCGAAGAACCUUACCAGGUCUUGACAU